rnacentral:rRNA from 1 species
UACGUAGGGCGCAAGCGUUAUCCGGAAUUAUUGGGCGUAAAGAGCUCGUAGGCGGUUUGUCGCGUCUGCCGUGAAAGUCCGGGGCUCAACUCCGGAUCUGCGGUGGGUACGGGCAGACUAGGGUGAUGUAGGGGAGACUGGAAUUCCUGGUGUAGCGGUGAAAUGCGCAGAUAUCAGGAAGAACACCGAUGGCGAAGGCAGGUCUCUGGGCAUUAACUGACGCUGAGGAGCGAAAGCAUGGGGAGCGAACAGG